GGGGGGGCAAGCGUUUGUUCGGAUUUACUGGGCGUAAAGGGCUCGUAGGCGGCCAGCUCAGUCAGACGUGAAAUCCCUCGGCUCAACCGGGGAACUGCGUCUGAUACUGGUUGGCUUGAAUCCGGGAGAGGGAUGUGGAAUUCCAGGUGUAGCGGUGAAAUGCGUAGAUAUCUGGAGGAACACCGGUGGCGAAGGCGGCAUCCUGGACCGGUAUUGACGCUGAGGAGCGAAAGCUAGGGGAGCGAACGGGAUUAGAUACCCCGGGUAGUCCUAGCCCUAAACGAUGAAUGCUUGGUGUGGCGGGUAUCGAUCCCCUGCCGUGCCCGAAGCUAACGCAGUAAGCAUUCCGCCUGGGGGAGUACGGUCGCAAGGCUG
rnacentral:rRNA from 1 species